rnacentral:rRNA from 1 species
GACGUAGGGGACGAGCGUUGUCCGGAAUUAUUGGGCGUAAAGAGCUUGUAGGCGGUUUGUCGCGUCUGCUGUGAAAUUUCGGGGCUCAACCCCGAACUUGCAGUGGGUACGGGCAGACUAGAGUGUGGUAGGGGAGACUGGAAUUCCUGGUGUAGCGGUGAAAUGCGCAGAUAUCAGGAGGAACACCGAUGGCGAAGGCAGGUCUCUGGGCCAUAACUGACGCUGAGAAGCGAAAGCAUGGGGAGCGAACAGG